CUAGACUCCUACGGGAGGCAGCAGUGAGGAAUAUUGGUCAAUGGGCGGAAGCCUGAACCAGCCAAGUCGCGUGAGGGAAGAAGGCCCUGCGGGUCGCAGACCUCUUUGGACGGGGAGCAAGGCCGCCGACGUGUCGGCGGAAGGAGAGUACCCGUAGAACAAGCAUCGGCUAACUCCGUGCCAGCAGCCGCGGUAAUACGGAGGAUGCGAGCGUUAUCCGGAUUUAUUGGGUUUAAAGGGUGCGCAGGCGGCACGGCAAGCCGGCGGUCAAAUCGCGGGGCUCAACCCCGCCCAGCCGUCGGAACUGCCGGGCUAGAGUGGGCGAGAAGUGCGCGGAAUGCGUGGUGUGGCGGUGAAAUGCAUAGAUAUCAGGAGGAACACCGGUGGCGAAGGCGGCCUGCUGGACUGCAACUGACGUUGAGGCCCGAAAGCGUGGGGAGCAAACAGGAUUAGAUACCCCAGUAAC
rnacentral:rRNA from 1 species